GACGAACGCUGGCGGCGUGCCUAAUACAUGCAAGUCGAACGCUUCUUUCCUCCCGAGUGCUUGCACUCAAUUGGAAAGAGGAGUGGCGGACGGGUGAGUAACACGUGGGUAACCUACCCAUCAGAGGGGGAUAACACUUGGAAACAGGUGCUAAUACCGCAUAACAGUUUAUGCCGCAUGGCAUAAGAGUGAAAGGCGCUUUCGGGUGUCGCUGAUGGAUGGACCCGCGGUGCAUUAGCUAGUUGGUGAGGAAACGGCUCACCAAGGCCACGAUGCAUAGCCGACCUGAGAGGGUGAUCGGCCACACUGGGACUGAGACACGGCCCAGACUCCUACGGGAGGCAGCAGUAGGGAAUCUUCGGCAAUGGACGAAAGUCUGACCGAGCAACGCCGCGUGAGUGAAGAAGGUUUUCGGAUCGUAAAACUCUGUUGUUAGAGAAGAACAAGGACGUUAGUAACUGAACGUCCCCUGACGGUAUCUAACCAGAAAGCCACGGCUAACUACGUG
rnacentral:rRNA from 1 species